rnacentral:rRNA from 1 species
UAGCAUAUCAUAGCGGAGGAAAAGAAACCAACAGGGAUUACCUCAGUAACGGCGAGUGAAGCGGUAAAAGCUCAAAUUUGAAAUCUGGCUCUUUCAGAGUCCGAGUUGUAAUUUGUAGAAGAUGCUUCGGGUGUGGUUCCGGUCUAAGUUCCUUGGAACAGGACGUCAUAGAGGGUGAGAAUCCCGUAUGUGACUGGAUACCUAUGCUCAUGUGAAGCUCUUUCGACGAGUCGAGUUGUUUGGGAAUGCAGCUCAAAAUGGGUGGUAUAUUUCAUCUAAAGCUAAAUAUUGGCCAGAGACCGAUAGCGCACAAGUAGAGUGAUCGAAAGAUGAAAAGCACUUUGGAAAGAGAGUUAAACAGUACGUGAAAUUGUUGAAAGGGAAGCGCUUGCAAUCAGACUUGCACUUGGUGUUCAUCAGGGUUUCGUGCCCUGUGUACUUCAUCAAGUUCAGGCCAGCAUCAGUUUGAGUGGUUAGAUAAAGGCUUGGAGAAUGUGGCCCUCUUCGGGGGGUGUUAUAGCUCCAGGUGCAAUGUAGCCUACUUGGACUGAGGACCGCGCUUCGGCUAGGAUGCUGGCGUAAUGGUUGUAAGCGACCCGUCUUGAAACACGGACCAAGGAGUGUACCUAAUAUGCGAGUGUUUGGGUGUUAAACCCAUACGCGUAAUGAAAGUGAACGCUGGUGAGAACCCUUAAGGGUGCAUCAUCGACCGAUCUUGAUGUCUUCGGAUGGAUUUGAGUAAGAGCAUAUUGGGUGCGACCCGAAAGAUGAUGAUCUAUACGUGAAUAGGGUGAAGCCAGAGGAAACUCUGGUGGAGGCUCGCAGCGGUUCUGACGUGCAAAUCGAUCGUCAAAUUUGCGUAUAGGGGCGAAAGACU